rnacentral:rRNA from 1 species
UACGUAGGGCGCAAGCGUUGUCCGGAAUUAUUGGGCGUAAAGAGCUCGUAGGCGGCCAGUUGCGUCUGCUGUGAAAUCCCGGGGCUCAACCCCGGGCGUGCAGUGGAUACGGGCUGGCUAGAGGCAGGCAGGGGAGAACGGAAUUCCCGGUGUAGCGGUGAAAUGCGUAGAUAUCGGAAGGAACACCAGUGGCGAAAGCGGCUUCCUGGUCCAGCACCGACGUUCAGGCACGAAAGCGUGGGGAGCAAACAGG